rnacentral:rRNA from 1 species
CUAUUAUUUUAAGUGUAAAAUUUGCUUACCUGAGUAGUAUUAGUUGGGGCCUUUAAACUCAAAGAAUUUGGCGGUAUUUCAUUCCAUUCAGAGGAACCUAUCUCGUAAUUGAUAGUACACGAUUAACUUUACUUAAUUUAUUUGUUUGUAUAUCUCCGUUAUCAGAAAAUCUUUUUGAAGUAAAAAUUUUCUUGUUUUUAUAUUAAAUAUUAUUUCAGGUCAAGGUGCAGCUUAUAAUUAAGAGUAUGAUGGGUUACAAUAAUUUUUUGUUUAUUAUGGAUUUGAUUAUGAAAUUUUUUAAUAAAGGUGGAUUUGAUAGUAAUUUAAUUUAUUUAAUUUAAUUGAUAUUGGCUCUGAAGUGUGUACACAUCGCCCC